CCUACGGGGGGCAGCAGUGGGGAAUAUUGGACAAUGGGGGCAACCCUGAUCCAGCAAUGCCGCGUGAGUGAUGAAGGCCUUAGGGUUGUAAAGCUCUUUUGCCAGGGAAGAUGAUGACUGUACCUGGAGAAUAAGCCCCGGCUAACUUCGUGCCAGCAGCCGCGGUAAUACGAAGGGGGCUAGCGUUGUUCGGAAUUACUGGGCGUAAAGGGCGCGUAGGCGGCCGUUUAAGUUAGGUGUGAAAGUCCUGGGCUCAACCUGGGGACUGCACUUAA
rnacentral:rRNA from 1 species